CAGUACACUUUGAACAACGCGUUAAAACGGUUUGGUUGAUUUUAGUUGUCGCAUGGAAUUAUUAGUGACGACGCUUUUCAUUAACUAUUUACCAAAAUAAAUAAAAUAGUUUUUGGCACUUUGGCGGAAAAGAAUCGGCAAAGUGUUUUUGAAAAACAUAAAAAUUUAAAGAACGCCGCAUAGCCACAGCAGGUGUACAAAUAGUAAUAAAUAAAACAGAGCAGUGAAAACCUAAAAACUAACAGACACCAGUCACCUGUAAAAAAAAAAUAGUUUAAUUACAUAUAAUUAUUAAGCCUCUCAACUCGCCUCAGCUCAGCGCCUUUGAUUUGGUGCUGAUUUCUUGUAUAUUUUGCCGCCUUCGAAUCAUCGACGGUUAGUGCCCUGCAGCACCUGCAGACCACCUCGGCGGCAGCUGCCAGCGUCAUGGGCAGCGUUUGGAAGCGUUUGCAGCGCGUCAAUAAACGGGCCGCCAAAUUUCAAUUUACCUCAUCCUAUCAUGAACUGCGCCUAGAAACGACUGCCAAAUGGCGCCCUUCAAAUCUGUCCGUUGUUUGGACUCGUCGUUCACGCCGCGUAGUUUCGAUGCCGUUGGCCUGGGAGCCGGAUAUGGUGAAUCCGCUGGUGGGCCACAUAUCCUGGCCAGUGCCAGAUAACCAUUCUAUUUCGGUGACACUUUUUAAGGAUCCACGCACCCACGAACUAGAAGAUAAGGACUGGACAUUUGUCAUUGAAGAUAUAACACAUCUCGGCAAAAAGCGGGUCCUGGCCUCGGCUAGCAUAAAUAUGCGCAAAUACGCGAGUAUCGAGUCGACACAGCAGAGCUUUACGCUCAGCCUAAAGCCGACCUCACGGAAGAUUACCGCCGCCGAACUGGAAUUGACAAUCAGUUGUGUGUUCUUGCGUGAAGGCAAGGCGACUGAUGAGGAUAUGCAGAGCGUCGUCUCUCUGAUGUCCGUCAAUAAUAAUUCUGAUGUUGCUCCACUGGACGACUUAGAGGAUAUACCCGAUCUGGAGAGUUCGGGUGAUAUUUCGGAUCAUUUGUUUGAUUUCACCCAACAGUUGGAGCAGAUGACGACUAGUUUGAACGGUUGCAUGGAUCUGCCAACGCCAUUGAGUGAGAAACAAUUUGGAUUCGACACUAGUGACGAGCUACUCAAGACGCCGAGCGCCGCUCAACCACAAGCGCAACCGCAGCCCGAACAGCAUACAAUAAAAAAGGAAAGUGCUGUCGCUGAUCAGGAGUCCAAGAGUUCGGCACCUGCACUGACACCUGCCAAGUCUUUAGAAGCCAGCGUGCUGCCGAUCAACCUAAAGAGCAAAAUUAUUACAUCCACUCCAAUCGCCACUUUCGCGAAGGGGACCGAUUGCAAACCGUGCGAGCCGAGUGAUACUGGCGCGCGUCGUGAACUCAACUUUCAAACUAACAAAAGUAACAACAUUGACGUGUCAUUUGCGCAGCAAAAUGGCGACAACAAAAAAGUGGUGCCCAGCGUUGCUGCCGUUGCUGUCUGUGAGGACGCGAGACCGAUGGAUGCCAAACCUGAACAGAAAUCAGCCAAAAUUAGCAACAGCAAGUCUACAACACUCAGCUCAUUACUAUCUAUGUCGGCUUCAACGCCGAAUAAGACAGCUGAUAAUGAAAAUAUGAAGGAAAAGUCCGUUACUGCAGGCAGCGGUAGCGUGCCACCGCCAAAACCCGUGCGCAGUGAGUCCAAACGCGCCGAAUUGCCACCGCUUAAUUUAAAGAAGAGCUACGAGCAUGACAACAACAGCAAUAGCAGCAUAAGCAAUAAUACGACUACCAGCAUCAGCAAUACGAACAACAAUCAUUUGAGCAGCAUUAACAGUAAUAACAGUUUACAACUGAAUGGCUCUGCCAAACCGGUGGAGAAGAUCGUGUUAAAAGAGAAUACUCCGGGGCAGGACUUGCUGGAGUGGUGCAAGGAUGUUACGAAGGACUAUCCAAAUGUAAAGGUGACUAAUUUGACGACCAGCUGGCGCAACGGCAUGGCAUUCUGUGCGAUCAUUCACCACUUUGAACCCGACCUAAUCGACAUGUCAAAACUCUCCGCACACGACGUUGUAGGCAAUUGUCGCUCCGCCUUCGACGUCGCCGAAUCGUUGGGCAUUCCUCGCGUGAUUGAACCGCGUGACAUGAGUUUGCUGGCUGUGCCAGAUAAAUUGGCUGUGAUGACGUAUCUACAUCAGCUGCGUGCGCAUUUCACCGGCAAACAAUUGCAAAUUGAGCAAAUUGGACCCACAUCCGACGAGUCGAGUUAUGUGAUUGGCAAUUACAAGUCGGACAACCUCUCGCAGAAUCUACUCAAUUUAAGCCACUUGAAAGCUCAACUAUUGCACCAGAACUCACUAGAUGACGACAUAUUCGGUGUAGAGACGAAAAUUAGCUCGGGGCCCGCACAGCCAUCGCCGACAGCGAAGAAAGAUGUAAAGAACUUAAUACUCUCUGGCUCGAAGAAUAUUUUGGGCAAGGUGCUUUCACCCAGCAAAGAUAAGAACUCGAUCAAUGCAUCGCAACAUGGCCAAGUGGGUAACCAGACACCGCCUGCCGAAGGUAAGGAAAGCACCAAUGCUGGCGAUGCCAAUGGCGACCUAAAUUUGUGUGCUACGACUGUUGAGUCGAAUCCGGUGCAAUCCGAUAAACAACAGAUGGCGCCCCAUUCACCCACAGCAUUGGAUCCUAAUGCGGCGAAUCGCAUUUUGUCACGUCACAAGGAAAUGAGCGAAAAGGCCAAGCUAAUGAUUGAAAAGCUGAAAGUUUCCAAUGGCGUGGAGCGUGGCGAGAACGACGAGGAACGUAAGCAACGUUUGCGUGAGCAGGCGCGUCGCCUCAUUCUCGAGACCCGAACCAAAUCAGUGAACGGUGGCAGCGGUGGCGGCAACUUGGACAGCCCGACCACGCCGACCAAACUGAAACGCAUGAACUUCUCACCCGAGCGCACCAUUUCACCCAUCCCCAAUGGCAUCGAGGACUAUGGUAUGCCAAGCACGGGCAGCAAUUCACCAACCAAGUUGCCGAUGUCGCCGUCGAAGAAGAUUACGCCGCCGCGCGAUGUGGAUACGCUUUCGACAACCACAAAUAGUAAUAGUAAACUGAUGAGUCCUAGUCAUAGAUUAAGCGAACGCUUCAGCAAUGGCACAAACAACAGCGGUAGUAAUAGUCCUCUGCAGUCGUUCAAUGCCGUCAUGGAGCGCAUUUCACCAAAGAACGACAAGAAGGGCGACAAACGCUCCUACAUCGAAUCGGAACUGGAGGCACUCGAGCGCGAACAGGAGGCCAUCGAUCAGAAGGCCAGCUGUCUAGAGAAGAAACUACGCGCUGUCAUGGGCGGUAAUCCAAGUAAUAAUCGUUCACAACGUAACCCUUUUAUUAGAUUAAUACGCAAUAGUAUUGGUGGUGGUGAUAGUAUACGUAUUAAAUUGCUUGACAUGGAUAGCGAUGGCCAGUUUUCAUUAUCGCCUUCGGGCGAAGACACUUCGCCGUGCACAUCAUCGGGCUCCGUGACACCCUCAUCCUUGUCCAGCGAUGAGGAGACGUCAGUACGCGCAGCUGAUGUGCGUUCGGCAUUAGCGGUGAACGGUGCUGAUGUUGAGAAUGUAGUGCGUCGGCGACGCAAACGGCGACAUCAACACCGCCAUCGCGCGCCUACGACGGAGCAUGCUAAUCAACAUCAGCAACGAACGCCACACAGCCGUCCACGCUCACAAUCAUGUAUUGUCGAUGCGAAUGAGAAUCAUAGAAAUCAUGCGCAUCCGCAACAGUCGCACAAUAGAUUUAUAAGUAACCGAAAUUUCGCAAACGCUUUUGCGCCGUUCAAUUUUAUAUUCUCCUCCUCCAAUACGAACACAACUACAACCAGAGCUUCCUCAAAUCAUUCCUCCUGUGAUAAUCUGCCAAAGGUGCACUUACACUUGCCAUGUGAUGCUGAGGGCGACAUUGACGAUGAACCGCGGCGAAUCCGUUGCCGAACCGAGGAGCCGCCUAGCGGCCGAAGACGAUCACGAAGCCGCUGCCAGUGCCAUUGUCGCACUGGUGGCGACUGCGGUGGUGGUAAACAAUAAUUUUUGCAUUACGCCUAACGUCUUAACGCCUGUAGUUACUCUUACAAACACAGUUACAAUUAUAAUUACUGCUUAACCACUACUACAAGCGGCAAAAUAUAUUGCAACAAAAAGGACUCUUUGAAAGCAAGACCGCACAUAAAUGUAAAAUUGCCACAGGCAUGCGUGCUACGCUUACUCGCUUACAAAAAAUACACUUUUAACGCGCUGGAGCGCUCUUUCAUUUAAGUACAUUAAUGGGCUGCUAUUUGCUGCAACGCUGCGGAUGUUGUGCUGACAUUUAACUGUUUGGAAGUUCACCGCGAUCACUGUCCAUAUUUCACCAUUUGACUCGCUUAGCUUCAAUGCUUAACCACGCAAACGCGAGUUGUAACGCAAACGCUGCUAGGCAAAGCAAAUUUGAAUAAACGCUACUUGCUUACUUUUGCCGCUGUUGCGCUUCUGCAAGCUGUAAUUAACACACUGUUGGCGUCCAUUUACUUUUGCAUAAAACGCAUUAAUCGCUUGUGCGAGCGGUUGCAGCGCUGCCGAUGCUCUAACAUUUUAAUCGUAACUCUCAUGCUCGUAUUUUAACUGUUUUUAACACAAUUCAUAACUUCGUAAAAUUCGUACAAUUAUUAGACCUAGCAAAGCUUGUUGGUUUGUGGCAUGCCGCGCAACUUGUGUGCAGACAAAUUUAAAUUUAUCCAAAGACUUAAAUUGGCCAAAAUAAUCAAAAUAAAAUGAACUGCUGCACACCAGUGCGCGCGCCAGCUAAAUUAUAACACAUAGCUAUAUUUGAUUCUUGAUGCGCUACUCACCACAUACUAAACUCACCUCUUGGAUUCAGAUUUUUACGAUGUAAAAAUUGCGAAAACCCGAUUAACGCAAUCUGAAUCACAUAAAUCGUUUAAAUCUGAGUCCUUUUUGUAAAUUUUUUCAAUAGCUCCGUUGCAUUAGUCCAGUAAUAUAUAUAUAUUAGCAUAAAUUUGAUUUCUUUUUGUAGUUGUUUAAAUGUUGACUCAAAAUCUUAUGCUUAUGAUUCAGUUAUGUAUUUGCCGUGCUAAUCUAGUGGCCAUUUAUUAAAGUUUCUUCUUAACUUCUCGCGCAGAAACCGAUGAGACGGAGGAGCAACUGUUGUCGCAGUGGUUUACGCUGGUUAACAAGAAAAACGCUCUGCUGCGCCGCCAAAUGCAGCUCAAUAUACUUGAGCAAGAAAGUGAUUUGGAGCGCAAAUACACGCUUCUAAAUCAGGAGCUGCGCGCCGCGCAGUCCGUGGAAGAUUGGCGAAAAACGGAAGCACAGCGUGAAAAGGAGCGACUGCUGCUCGAGGAGCUGGUUGCUAUUGUGGACAAACGUGAUGAGCUGGUGCAACAUUUGCAUAGUCAGGAAAUUGCUAUCGAGGACGACCACGAGAUCGCGCGCGAGUUGGAGCAAGUGGACAUCAGCGGGGACAAGGACAAAUGCGUCAUACAAUAAAAGCACAUCGGCAUGCUACGUCCACUGCUGCUGCACCGAGUCGAGAGUAUUGUAUGGCAGAGCUGGUGCGAACAAUGACGCAACGACACAGAAAAAGUGAAAUUAAAUGUAGUUAGUGUUUGAUAAUUUUGGAAUACGAUCAAUAUGCAACUGACGUAUGCGUUUUCUACAACAGCGACCAUUAAGUAAACAUUCGCUUUACCUAUAACCAAUUGCAAUAUGUAUUUACUUACAUAUGUCGUUUGUAUGAAGUAAAAGAAGUAAACUAUUUUAAUUGCUAAAUUAAAGUAGCGGUGUGAACGCUUUUGUGCAAAACAUAAUUGAAUAGCUUAAAUAUGGGGCAUAGACAAACUUAAUUGCCAGCAAUUGCAAAUAUUCAGCGCUAAAUUAUAUUCAUUUGUAUGGAUGAAUGUGUGACCUCCGAAGCACAACUUCCUGUGCAUACCUUCGCUUGCAGGAAACAAAAUAUUCAACGACGACAAUUACGAAAUACGGAUUUGAUCAGUGUAAUAUUCUGUCGAAAAGUAGAAGAAAAUUAACUAAAUAUUUAACUCGAGUUGCAUAAAGACAAAAUACGAGGCCAGCCUAGAACACAGAAACGAUUCUAGAACAUGUGGCGUUGUAAUCUAAACAAUUCCCGCUUUUCAGCGCUGUUUUUUUUUAUCGCUGGCGAAUAUUUCAUUCAGAGAGUAAUGUCCGUCAAAAACGAAACUUUUACUUUGAGCAAAUAAUUUCUAUGUAGAAUGUGUAAAAUGUAUAAUGUUAAAUGCAACUCAAACACAAAUUUGAAAAACGUCCGUUAGUUUUGUAAGCAACAACUGAAACAAAAAAAAUUAAACAAAUGAAAAAUAUCGAAUAGUGCAUAUAAACCGUAAACCGUUAACUAUCCUUUUUACACAGCUUUCGUUUGACAAGCGCUUAUUGUGCCAUUUUUCUGUUCAACUCACUUAUUUUAACAGUUUAACGAUACUCAUUUUCACACCGAUAUUUUCAUUUGCAAUGCCUUUAUUUAAACACUACAACAUUUCACACCUGAUGUUUUGGAUUGAAAGCCUCGUUUGGGUGGCGAACUUAAUUGCUUCAACUUAAAUUAGCUUUAUCAAUUGCUUUAGUUGAGAUAUGUGUGUAUGUGUGUGUUUUCCGAACGCACCAUUGUAAACUAUUUUUAAUAUUUUUAAGUUGUAAUUAUGUUUUAAAUAAUGAAAAAAUAAUGAAAUUAGUUUAUAAUUUGACUAGUGUGAUCCUAACUGUAAACUGUACCUACCUAUUUAUAAUUAAACAUGAGAAAUAAAAUGUAGUUUAUAUGUAUUUGUAUAUUUAGUUUUGUUGAAACACUUUUAGUUUAUUUUUAAUAUAAUUUUAUUACUGCGUUGAGUUUUUUAUCUUAAACAAAUGGUGACUACUCAGUUUUACUACUCUCCCCCAUCGCCGCCAGUUUGCUUUUACCGAGUUUCUUUGGUUUUCAUAAGAAACUGCCGCGAAAGGCUGUCUUGGCGUUGAAUCUUAACAUGGGUACUUAGGAAAUUAACAUUUAUAUAAUAAUAUUGAACUAGAAACGACCCUACGAGCAGAAAUUGUAUUACAUGUAAGUCAGAUAUAUAUAAUUAAUAUAAAAAUACAAACAUAAAUAUAUGAAUGAUUUAAAUGUAACAUAAUCAACUAAAGAAUAUAUGUAUAUGAAUAAAUAUGAAUGAAAUGAAUAUGGAAAA